AGUGAACGCUGGCGGUAGGCCUAACACAUGCAAGUCGAACGGCAGCACAGUAAGAGCUUGCUCUUACGGGUGGCGAGUGGCGGACGGGUGAGGAAUACAUCGGAAUCUACUUUUUCGUGGGGGAUAACGUAGGGAAACUUACGCUAAUACCGCAUACGACCUACGGGUGAAAUCAGGGGAUCUUCGGACCUUGCGCGAUUGAAUGAGCCGAUUUCGGAUUAGCUAGUUGGCGGGGUAAAGGCCCACCAAGGCGACGAUCCGUAGCUGGUCUGAGAGGAUGAUCAGCCACACUGGAACUGAGACACGGUCCAGACUCCUACGGGAGGCAGCAGUGGGGAAUAUUGGACAAUGGGCGCAAGCCUGAUCCAGCCAUACCGCGUGGGUGAAGAAGGCCUUCGGGUUGUAAAGCCCUUUUGUUGGGAAAGAAAAGCAGCAGGUUAAUACCCCGCUGUUCUGACGGUACCCAAAGAAUAAGCACCGGCUAACUUCGUG
rnacentral:rRNA from 1 species